GGUUUCCGUAGGUGAACCUGCGGAAGGAUCAUUAGUGAAUAAACUUGCGUGGGUUGUUGCUGGCCUCCUUGGAGGUAUGUGCACGCUCACCAUUGUUUCGUCCUCCUUCCACCUGUGCACUUUUUGUAGACCAGGCUGUCACUUUUCGGGUUGCUUGCAUCUCGGUUAUGAGGACUUGCUCUGGCUGUCCUUGGAUGGUGUGGUCUAUGUCUUUUAUCAACCCCGCAUGUAACAGAAUGUUUGUUCUGGGUUUCUACACCCAUAAAAUCUAUACAACUUUCAACAACGGAUCUCUUGGCUCUCGCAUCGAUGAAGAACGCAGCGAAAUGCGAUAAGUAAUGUGAAUUGCAGAAUUCAGUGAAUCAUCGAAUCUUUGAACGCACCUUGCGCUCCUUGGUAUUCCGAGGAGCAUGCCUGUUUGAGUGUCAUUAAAUCCUCAACCUCAUAUUCCUUGUGAACGUGAAGUUGGAUGUGGGAGUUGCUGGCCUCUUGUGGUCAGCUCUUCUGAAAUGCAUUAGCAGGGCUGCUGUAUUGCAAGGCUUUGUUGCUUGGUAUUGAUAGUUGUCUUACCAGGUGUCAGAGUUGGCAAUGUGCCCCGGCUUCCAGUCGUCUCUCCGGACAACUUUUGACGAUUUGACCUCAAAUCAGGUAGGACUACCCGCUGAACUUAAGCAUA
rnacentral:rRNA from 1 species